rnacentral:rRNA from 1 species
AGAGUUUGAUCAUGGCUCAGGACGAACGCUGGCGGCGUGCCUAACACAUGCAAGUCGAACGGGGUGAGGCCCUUCGGGACCUUUACCUAGUGGCGAACGGGUGAGUAACGCGUGAGGAACCUGCCUUUCAGUGGGGGACAACAGUUGGAAACGACUGCUAAUACCGCAUGAAGCUUUUGGGAGACAUCUCCUGGAAGCCAAAGCUUAAUGUGCUGAAAGAUGGCCUCGCGUCUGAUUAGCUAGUUGGUGGGGUAACGGCCCACCAAGGCGACGAUCAGUAGCCGGUCUGAGAGGAUGAACGGCCACAUUGGGACUGAGAUACGGCCCAGACUCCUACGGGAGGCAGCAGUGGGGAAUAUUGGGCAAUGGGCGAAAGCCUGACCCAGCAACGCCGCGUGAAGGAAGAAGGCCUUCGGGUUGUAAACUUCUUUUACCAGGGACGAAGGACGUGACGGUACCUGGAGAAAAAGCAACGGCUAACUACGUGCCAGCAGCCGCGGUAAUACGUAGGUUGCAAGCGUUGUCCGGAUCUACUGGGUGUAAAGGGCGUGUAGGCGGAGAUGCAAGUUAGGAGUGAAAUCUAUGGGCUCAACCCAUAAACUGCUUCUAAAACUGUAUCCCUUGAGUAUCGGAGAGGCAAGCGGAAUUCCUAGUGUAGCGGUGAAAUGCGUAGAUAUUAGGAGGAACACCAGUGGCGAAGGCGGCUUGCUGGACGACAACUGACGCUGAGGCGCGAAAGCGUGGGGAGCAAACAGGAUUAGAUACCCUGGUAGUCCACGCUGUAAACGAUGAAUACUAGGUGUGGGGGGACUGACCCCCUCCGUGCCGCAGUUAACACAAUAAGUAUUCCACCUGGGGAGUACGACCGCAAGGUUGAAACUCAAAGGAAUUGACGGGGGCCCGCACAAGCAGUGGAUUAUGUGGUUUAAUUCGACGCAACGCGAAGAACCUUACCAGGACUUGACAUCCAACUAACGAAGUAGAGAUACAUCAGGUGCCCUUCGGGGAAAGUUGAGACAGGUGGUGCAUGGUUGUCGUCAGCUCGUGUCGUGAGAUGUUGGGUUAAGUCCCGCAACGAGCGCAACCCCUAUUGUUAGUUGCUACGAAAGAGCACUCUAGCGAGACUGCCGUUGACAAAACGGAGGAAGGCGGGGACGACGUCAAAUCAUCAUGCCCCUUAUGUCCUGGGCUACACACGUAAUACAAUGGUGGCCAACAGAGGGAAGCGAAGCCGUGAGGCAGAGCAAAUCCCUAAAAGCCAUCUCAGUUCGGAUUGCAGGCUGCAACUCGCCUGCAUGAAGCUGGAAUUGCUAGUAAUCGCGGAUCAGCAUGCCGCGGUGAAUACGUUCCCGGGCCUUGUACACACCGCCCGUCACACCAUGAGAGUCGGGAACACCCGAAGUCCGUAGUCUAACCGCAAGGGGGCGCGGCCGAAGGUGGGUCCGGUAAUUGGGGUGAAGUCGUAACAAGGUA